GAUGAACGCUGGCGGCGUGCCUAAUACAUGCAAGUCGAGCGAACGGACGAGAAGCUUGCUUCUCUGAUGUUAGCGGCGGACGGGUGAGUAACACGUGGAUAACCUACCUAUAAGACUGGGAUAACUUCGGGAAACCGUAGCUAAUACCGGAUAAUAUUUUGAACCGCAUGGUUCAAAAGUGAAAGACGGUCUUGCUGUCACUUAUAGAUGGAUCCGCGCUGCAUUAUCUAGUUGGUAAGGUAACGGCUUACCAAGGCAACGAUGCAUAGCCGACCUGAGAGGGUGAUCGGCCACACUGGAACUGAGACACGGUCCAGACUCCUACGGGAGGCAGCAGUAGGGAAUCUUCCGCAAUGGGCGGAAGCCUGACGGAGCAACGCCGCGUGAGUGAUGAAGGUCUUCGGAUCGUAAAACUCUGUUAUUAGGGAAGAACAUAUGUGUAAGUAACUGUGCACAUCUUGACGGUACCUAAUCAGAAAGCCACGGCUAACUACGUG
rnacentral:rRNA from 1 species